UGCGUGCGGGCUGUUGCCCCGGCUCUUCCCCGACGGGAGGACGGGAUGCUGCGGUGCCCUUUGCUGAGAUCGCCGCGCAGGGCGGGGCAGGGCUCGAACCCGAAGAGCCGAGUUCGAACUCGGAUAACUCUCGUGCCCUAAGAGGGUGGGACAAGGGAGAUGUGACCGCUGGGGAUGAUGGUGGGAGGGGGAGCUCCUACUCCGGGGAAAACAAGUCAGCUCUUUCGCGGAACUCGUGCGAACGUCCAGUGGGCCUUUUGCAAGUAUUUUACCUCCAAGUCUCUGGAAUCCGGCCCCUCCUUCCCAUCUGCACUACUACAGCCCUAGUCCAGACACCUUUCACCCAAUCCUUGCAGAAGUCUCUUCUCUGGGCUUGCCUCGCCCGUCCUCAGUGCUGCGGAUCCUAUGGGUUACUGCCCGUUUCCUGCUGAAAAGCCCAGACAGCACCUCACCUCCGAGAUGAAGUCCCGCUCGCUUCACACGGGGCCGUCCUCUAGGCGCCUGGCUUCCAGUUUAGCCUUGACGACUCGCUCUUCUGCAAUGCCCUUCAUUUCAAAUGGCACCUUUCCUGCGAAACCUGAGUAAAACCCUCUGCUGAUGUUCCUCUGCUGCAAAGCCACGGGGAGGAGUCAGAAGCCGGAAGUCAACAGAAUCUGGAAGAGAAAAGAGAGGAUGUUGGCAUGUGAUGACAGAAAGCAGAGAUACAAGCCAAGGAGCCCUGAGGAUUGCCGGCUAGCCAGAACACUACCAAUCUCGAGAGGAAGCAAGCCUUCUGGCCAACACCUUGAUUUGGACUUCUGGCCUCUGAAAUGGUAGGUCGAUAAAUUCUGUUGGUUAAGCCAGCCCAUUCUGUGGUGAUUGCCAUAACAGCCUGGCAAACUAAGACACGUGGGCAUUUUAAUUGUAUGAUUUAAAAAAUUUUAGGAGUAAUGUACAUAUUUUAAUAUAACAAAUGUAUGAAAUAAUAGACUUUUAAAGGUCAUUCCAUUCACAAACUUCAUUUUACAAAUGUAGAGAUUAAGUUCCAGAGGAGUUAAGCAAAUCGUUCAAGAUCAUACAACCUAGUUAGGGGUAAGUGAGGAACUAAGACCCCUAUUUUCCGUGUCAAGGCAAUGAUCUUGCCACCCAGUAUACUCUUUUACCCAUAAACUACUAGUCUGUUAUCUUUAGGCAAAAACCAAAUAUGAAACAAAAACAAUAAACAGAAAAAGUAACACAUCAAACACAUGCAAAAAAAAAAAAAAAACCCUCAGAACAGAAACUAUUCAAUUCUGCCUCCUCUUAUCUUUCUGUCUGUUAUUAAAUUAUUUGUAUCUCCACUAGCAGCCUGAAACUCUUGUCAUCUCCAGGAGUGGGAUCAUGUCUUACUAAUCGCUACAUCCACAUAACUAUGACCUGAGCAGAGGACCCAGCUAGCCUGUGCUCAAACUUCUGACCCAGAGAAACUGUGAGAUAAUAAAUGGAAGGUUUUGGUUUGUAAAAAAUUAUGGUAGCCUACAUAUAACACAAAAUUUCCCAUUUUAACCAUUUUAAGUAUACAUUUCAGUGGCAUUAAUUACAUUCACAAUGUUACUCUAUUACCAUAACCACCAUCUUUUACCAAGACUUCCACCCCAAACAGAAACUCUGUACCUAUUAAGCAAAGUUCCCCAACCUCCCCUCCCCCCAGCCCCUGGUAAUCUCCAUUCUACUU